GAUGAACGCUGGCGGCGUGCCUAAUACAUGCAAGUCGAGCGAACGGACGAGAAGCUUGCUUCUCUGAUGUUAGCGGCGGACGGGUGAGUAACACGUGGAUAACCUACCUAUAAGACUGGGAUAACUUCGGGAAACCGGAGCUAAUACCGGAUGAUAUUUUGAACCGCAUGGUUCAAAAGUGAAAGACGGUCUUGCUGUCACUUAUAGAUGGAUCCGCGCUGCAUUAGCUAGUUGGUAAGGUAACGGCUUACCAAGGCAACGAUGCAUAGCCGACCUGAGAGGGUGAUCGGCCACACUGAAACUGAGACACGGUCCAGACCCCUACGGGAGGCAGCGUAGGGAAUCUUCCGCAAUGGGCGAAAGCCUGACGGAGCAACGCCGCGUGAGUGAUGAAGGUCUUCGGAUCGUAAAACUCUGUUAUUAGGGAAGAACAUAUGUGUAAGUAACUGUGCACAUCUUGACGGUACCUAAUCAGAAAGCCACGGCUAACUACGUG
rnacentral:rRNA from 1 species